rfam:Nosema ceranae BRL01 Nc000128, whole genome shotgun sequence.
GCCUUUGUAGCUCAGUGGUAGAGCGCUAGUUUAGUAAACUAGAGGUCCCGAGUUCGAUCCUCGGCGGAGGCA